CAAGCACAUUAUUUUGUUGAUGUGUUUCACUCGUAUACCCCACUAACGGUAUCAUACCACACAUGGUCAACAGCCCACCAGUAACUCCAUUGAAAAGCGCCAGGCUCUGGAGAUACUGGACUACCUGCAAAGCUGACUGAUGAAUGAGCCGACACCUUUGUGACAAAUAGACCGGGCUAUAAAUAGUUGGCCGUAUCAGAAGGGAACCAGUUAUGCAAAAGAUAAAAACGGUAUUCCGCCUAACGCCAAGAUAACGUGAAGCCUGUCUAUAGCCAAAUAAACCUGAAUUGAAAGGUUGACCUCGACCCUCGAACGUUUCAAGAGAAGGGUCCGACUGCGAAAUAUGAACAACUUUGCAAAGACUGAAAAAGCCCCUCAGAUGUAACCUCGUGAAUUAUUCACAUCUGCUCAGGUAACACGAAGAAGGGGGUCCGCCCUGAGUUCGCAGAAGUCGCCGCUCGCCGCCACGGCAGGCAUGAGUCGCCCUGUGGAGAGUCACCGAUGGACACUUGACCAACAUCAUCUGAAGACCUGCAGAACGUACGGUCCCAUCCACACCUGCUGAGCUCCAGAGGUGUGAAUGAUGAGCGACAGUCCAGGAUGAGGCACAAUUGCUCGGUUUGUUGGCUUUGUUCUCAUUUCAUGACACUGUGUCACUUGAUCAGUUGGGUUUACUGAAUUAGGAUGAUGGGCUCUCUGACUGAUCAAGAUGGAGGAUUGCACCUUCAGUACCAAAAAAACCAAAGACCAAGUCCCAAAGGGGACUCUGCCCCCCCCCUCCCCCCCCCCCCAUCAAGCCCAAGUCCCAAAGGGGACUCUGCCACCCAC